rnacentral:rRNA from 1 species
UACGAAGGGGGCUAGCGUUGUUCGGAUUUACUGGGCGUAAAGCGCACGUAGGCGGCUCUUUAAGUCAGAGGUGAAAUCCCAAGGCUCAACCUUGGAACUGCCUUUGAUACUGGGGAUCUCGAGUCCGGGAGAGGUGAGUGGAACUGCGAGUGUAGAGGUGAAAUUCGUAGAUAUUCGCAAGAACACCAGUGGCGAAGGCGGCUCACUGGCCCGAUACUGACGCUGAGGCACGAAAGCGUGGGGAGCAAACAGG